UCGGGAAUUUUGGGCAAUGGGCGAAAGCCUGACCCAGCAACGCCGCGUGAAGGAUGAAGUAUUUCGGUAUGUAAACUUCGAAAGAAUAGGAAGAAUAAAUGACGGUACUAUUUAUAAGGUCCGGCUAACUACGUGCCAGCAGCCGCGGUAAUACGUAGGGACCAAGCGUUGUUCGGAUUUACUGGGCGUAAAGGGCGCGUAGGCGGCAAUUCAAGUCAUCUGUGAAAUCUCCGGGCUUAACUCGGAACGGUCAGAUGAUACUGCUUUGCUAGAGUGCAGAAGGGGCAAUCGGAAUUCUUGGUGUAGCGGUGAAAUGCGUAGAUAUCGGGAGGAACACCUGUGGCGAAGGCGGCCACCUGGUUGGAUACUGACGCUGAGACGCGAAAGCGUGGGGAGCAAACAGGAUUAGAUACCCAGGUAGUCCCUGAGCGGGCUGGCAAGGCG
rnacentral:rRNA from 1 species